AAUUGAUAGAAAAUGACGUCACCUCCAAAAAGGAGGACAGUGCGUUAGAUGGGUGGAGGUGAGAUUCUUUCGAUGCUGUGAAGCGCCCUGACCCUUGCUCCACAGUCUGCCCCCUGUUAGAGCUUUUAUCUCAGGGAUCCCAGCUCCUUUGUGAUGUGAUGAACUGGGACACGUAGCUUCAUCACGCUCACUGUCCUGGGAACGGGGCCUUGUCCUCUCUCCUGUACUCAGGGUUCUUUCCCUUGCUUCAGGAAAGAUCUGUCCAGCUUAAAAGCGGAGCACUGAUUACAAGGAAAAAAAGUGGAAAUUUGCCAUCAAGUGGCUGUCUCAUCAUUGAAUUCCAAACACUGGGUUUUUGAGGAAUUUACUGCAACAUGUUUUUUUGAGCGCCUGCACUGUGCCAGGCACUGUUGUAGACAUGGGGUACACACUGGUGAACAAAACAUGCAAAAUAAUGGCCUCUGGAAGGAUGGAUUUGGGACAGAUGCUCUUCAAAGAAUCAGAAAUGGACUCUUGUUCGACUCAGGCUUCAGGUCAUCGCCACUCCUCGUGUCGCGAAUCUGCACCGCCUCUCAUGGCCCGUGUCUUUGUCUUUGAAUCUUCAGUCGGGGUCCCUGAAGGGGCUGCCCCGGCCUGCCUUGAACCCUGAGCUGACUCACCUUUCCGAGGCUGGCGUCCCAGGAGUUACUGACCCUGGAGGAUGUGACCAUGGACUUCAUGUGGGAGGCGUGGCAGCUCCUGGCCCCCACCCAGAAGAACCUGCCGGGACGUGAUGUUGGAGAACUACAAGAACCUGGUGUCAGUAGGGCAUCAAGCCAACAAACCAGACGCGCUCUCCAAGCUGGAACGAGGGGAAGAACCGUGGGCGAUAGAAGAGGAAGUCCGCAGUGGAACCAGUCCAGAAGCUGAAGUUGAUGAUCACCUACGGUGACACUUGCAUGGCUGGAGAUGCCUAAAGACAACUAAAUGCGGAACAAUGCUGUGAACAUGAUGCCUCUGAAAAUAUUGUCCAUCUGGACCAUCAUUUUCCUUUAAGGCAAAAUUAGGGAAAAACUCUGAAGUCAAAUUUAAAUUCAGUCAGUUAAAGCAGAGGCUAUGAAAUAAAGAACUCCAUGGAGUGUA